CUGCCCUGAAGGGGGCUCUUGGAUAAAAGGUGCAGUAGCAGAUCAAGUAACCUUUCUGGAGGGGUCCAGAGCAAAGGAGGUGACUGCAGAAGAACUGGUUGCUGCCUAUUUGACAGAGGGGCUGAUUUGUGUAGCCAAGCUCACUGUGGUUGAAGCCAUUGCUGCCUUACUGCCUGGUGGUGCUGGGUCUUUAACCUCAGAUGGUAUGCUGGUCAUGUCUAUGGAUCCUACUUCUACCCAUGGCUUUGCAAAUGUGUCUGAUUAAUAAAAUAAUAACUGCAGUUAAAUUGCAGUAUGUCAGUAUGCUGUAGUUCCCAGAUAGUCCGCAGAAUUGUUUCCUGACAGGCAGCUCUCAAAAACUAGGGCUGGGGAGGAUGGUGGCAGCAGCUGAUGGCAUGAAUGCAUUCUGAACUGUAAAUGGGAUGGAUGUUCUG
rnacentral:lncRNA from 1 species